rnacentral:rRNA from 1 species
GUAGGGAAUAUUGGGCAAUGGAUGCAAGUCUGAACCAGCCAUUCCGCGUGCAGGAAGAAGAUUCUAUGGAUUGUAAACUGCUUUUAGCAGAGAAGAAACGCCUUCAUUGAUGAGGGUUUGACGGUAUCUGCGGAAUAAGCACCGGCUAACUCCGUGCCAGCAGCCGCGGUAAUACGGGGGGUGCAAGCGUUAUCCGGAAUCACUGGGUUUAAAGGGUGCGUAGGCGGGAAAUUAAGUAAGUGGUGAAAGUCUGUUGCUUAACGAUAGAAUUGCCGUUGAUACUGAUUUUCUUGAAUUGGGUUGAGGUUAGCGGAAUGUGACAUGUAGCGGUGAAAUGCAUAGAUAUGUCAUGGAACACCAAUUGCGAAGGCAGCUAGCUGGGCCUUGAUUGACGCUGAGGCACGAAAGCGUGGGUAGCGAACAGGAUUAGAUACCCUAGUAGUCC